AUUUGAAGUAGUGAAAAAUUAAGAAAAACUCUGGAAAAUCGUGAAAAUCAGUGCCGGACUAAUAAAUUACGCGAAAAAAACAUUAGAAACAUUAAUAACUGAAUUGAAAACCCUGUUUUAUAAAGAAAAUUCUUGCAAUUAUUUAAUUUAAUAAGUGAAAAACUCAAAAACAUUUGAAUACUAAUUAAAAUCAAUAUUUACAUCGAAAAACAUUAACUUUUGUGUUAGUAACGUGAGAAUCAACAUUGAAAGUGUAAGUUUUAUUCGCUUACACCGUGAGAAUAAAAUAUUUGAAUCCAAUGUUUUGAUCUGGAUUCUUAUUUACGUGUUUCGGUACCGCGGCGCGUUAUCUCGGGCAACAAUCUUAUCAAAAGAUAAAAGACUUGUAUUUUACUUCACUGCUAGCAGCAUAAAGACUAAGUUUAAAGAAUUCAGUUAUUUUAAUACUAGUAUGACGAACACAUACCAACGGCUUUACGAAUAAAUAAUUUAAAGUGUAGAAAAACUAAGAAAAACUGGAAAAUUGUGAAAAUCAGUGCGGGACUAAUAAAAUCCGUUAAAAAACAUUAAAAAUUAUCGCGUUUUGUGUUUGUGACGUGAGAAGUGCCAAUUGAAGUACAAGUACCAUGGUUCUGGUUCUGGUUUCAUUCCUUUGACGAGAUGCGCAGCAGUUAAUUACAUUAAUUAAGGAUCCUAAGAUACUUUCAAGAUGUUUUGUAUGCCAAAUAAGGAGUAUUCUCGAAGACUACAAAAAAUAAGAAAAGUUAUAGAUAAUUUCAAAAUGGAAUCUCGCCUGGAAUGUGAGCCGGGAAUGUCAGCAGGACGAAAUGGUGUAACUAUGCGCGGCACAUAGUUGCAAAACCGAGUGCGUGACUGCCGCCGCCCCCCACCGCCAAAGUACAAAAUAUGCGUAACUAAUUAUUCGGGGAACUAUGCCACCCCUCCGGAGACCCGUUUUCUUCCAAGAGAUGAGGCAAGUGGGGGCGGUAGUGGGGGGCGGCUGAAACCAACGCACACACAGUCUGGGAAGCAGUUGCGAGUCUAAUAGUCGAAGAAGGGUUUUGCGUUUGACGGGAAGAUUUACACUGGUUUCGGCGUUUUGCACCAUUCCGGAAACGGGAGCGGCAAGGGAGGCAGAACUACCCCGCGACGUCAUCCCCGAAAAUGUCUGCAAUCGACGUUGAUUGAGAGUUUCUGCAAUUUGUGCACAAUGGAACAAUGGAAAUUCGUGCGCGUUCGCAGGGAGUUAAUUACCUCGUCGUCAUCGUCGACGACGACUGUGAUGACGACGCCGUCGAAGCCGCCCCCGGGGCCGCCUACCAUUCCAAGGUGGAAAACGCGACCGAGCAGAAUGGCAACCGGAAGCGACGACUGCGCGCCGCUCGAAUGUACCCCACUUGAGGAUUCUACACGGUGUAUACCAUGUGUUCAAAGUA